AUUUUUUUCAAUAAAAUGUGGAAAAAAACCAACGCAAUGAAUGACCAUCUGAUUUGGACCAAUGUACAAGCUGUUGCUCUCACCCAAAACAAAUAAAAUGGCCCGAUAACACUUGUGUUGUUCAACUUCGGUUGACCAGAGCCAGAGGAAAAGAUGCAUAUGAAAGAACUUGUUUUCGGUCUCAUAUUACUGAUGCAAGCAUGUGAACCGAUAUUGGCCCAGACACCCGCCCCGAUACAACCCGAGCCUCCAGGAAUACUACAGAGGCUAGCAGAGAAAACCAGGUA